rnacentral:rRNA from 1 species
AAGCCUACGGGGGGCAGCAGUGAGGAAUAUUGGUCAAUGGACGCAAGUCUGAACCAGCCAAGUAGCGUGCAGGAUGACGGCCCUCCGGGUUGUAAACUGCUUUUAGUUGGGAAUAAAAGGGGGCUCGUGAGCCCCGUAUUGUAUGUACCAUCAGAAAAAGGACCGGCUAAUUCCGUGCCAGCAGCCGCGGUAAUACGGAAGGUCCGGGCGUUAUCCGGAUUUAUUGGGUUUAAAGGGAGCGCAGGCGGCACGCUAAGCCUGAUGUGAAAACCCGCGGCCCAACCGCGGGAGUGCAUUGGGAACUG